rnacentral:rRNA from 1 species
GAAUAUUGGACAAUGGGCGAAAGCCUGAUCCAGCAAUGCCGCGUGAGUGAUGAAGGCCUUAGGGUUGUAAAGCUCUUUUACUGGGGAUGAUAAUGACAGUACCCAGAGAAUAAGCUCCGGCUAACUCCGUGCCAGCAGCCGCGGUAAUACGAAGGGGGCUAGCGUUGUUCGGAAUUACUGGGCGUAAAGGGCGCGUAGGCGGUCUUGUAAGUCAGAUGUGAAAGCCCCGGGCUCAACCCGGGAAUAGCAUUUGAUACUGCGAGGCUUGAGUCCGGGAGAGGAUGGCGGAAUUCCCAGUGUAGAGGUGAAAUUCGUAGAUAUUGGGAAGAACACCGGUGGCGAAGGCGGCCAUCUGGACCGGCACUGACGCUGAGGCGCGAAAGCGUGGGGAGCAAACAGG